rnacentral:rRNA from 1 species
CAGGCGNUCAGGAAAGUCUGGAGUAAAAGGCUAUGGNUCAACCAUAGUGUGCUCUGGAAACUGUNUGACUUGAGUGCAGAAGGGGAGAGUGGAAUUCCAUGUGUAGCGGUGAAAUGCGUAGAUAUAUGGAGGAACACCAGUGGCGAAAGCGGCUCUCUGGUCUGUCACUGACGCUGAGGCUCGAAAGCGUGGGUAGCGAACAGGAUUAGAUACCCUGGUAGUCCACGCCGUAAACGAUGAGUGCUAGGUGUUAGGCCCUUUCCGGGGCUUAGUGCCGGAGCUAACGCAAUAAGCACUCCGCCUGGGGAGUACGACCGCAAGGUUGAAACUCAAAGGAAUUGACGGGGGCCCGCACAAGCGGUGGAGCAUGUGGUUUAAUUCGAAGCAACGCGAAGAACCUUACCAGGUCUUGACAUCCCGAUGCUAUUCUUAGAGAUAGGAAGUUACUUCGGUACAUCGGAGACAGGUGGUGCAUGGUUGUCGUCAGCUCGUGUCGUGAGAUGUUGGGUUAAGUCCCGCAACGAGCGCAACCCUUAUUGUUAGUUGCCAUCAUUAAGUUGGGCACUCUAGCGAGACUGCCGGUAAUAAACCGGAGGAAGGUGGGGAUGACGUCAAAUCAUCAUGCCCCUUAUGACCUGGGCUACACACGUGCUACAAUGGUCGGUACAACGAGUUGCGAGCCGGUGACGGCAAGCUAAUCUCUGAAAGCCGAUCUCAGUUCGGAUUGGAGGCUGCAACUCGCCUCCAUGAAGUCGGAAUCGCUAGUAAUCGCGGAUCAGCACGCCGCGGUGGAUACGUUCCCGGGCCUUGUACACACCGCCCGUCACACCACGAGAGUUUGUAACACCCGAAGUCGGUGAGGUAACCUUUUAGGGNCCAGCCGC